AAUAGCAUGAAGGAUUGGCCUGCUCAAAUUCAGCUUGAAAACUGUGGCAAAGUUUGAAAAUGAAUCUUUACCCCUGAAUCUUUAUUGAAGCUCAGUCUUUUAUAAUAUGAAGAACCAGAAAGAGCUACUUCUCUGCAGAAACUGCACAUCUACAAGAGUGCUUGUAGUCUUGAUAAAGGAAGUUUAAGGCUAAUCUAUCAUGGAUUUUUAAUAGCUGUCAGCAGGAGAAAGAAUUCUGGCAGGUCAGCAUUGUGGGCACUAUACAAUAAGAAAGAUUCAUGGUCUACAGAUAUAAAUAUUGUCACCUUUACACCUGUCUGGUACAUACGACUUUGAACAAUUUUCAGAUCUUACAGUUCUAACAAUUCUGAGGACUUGACCUUUGGUAAUUCCUCUUAAACAUCUUUCUACAGUGUACUGAAAUGGAGA